rnacentral:lncRNA from 1 species
ACACCUUUCAUCAAUGAUGAUGGCUUCUUUAAUGCAACUUAAGGGGAGGUUUUCAGUACCCAUUGCUUUAGAAAAACACUGUUUCUCCUUGAUCAAUCGAGCCAUUGCUCAAAAAGGAUAUUCUCUCUUCCUACAAUAAAACCAUUUACAGCACCUAAGUGAAUUAAUAUGUACAAAAUAAAUUCUACUUGAUUCCAAUUCAGUUUUAUGAGUUUCGUGUUAACACACGACUUUGUGAGGUCUUGUUUUUCUAUUUCUCGUAGUAUUAUAUAAAACGUAUUUUUGCGUGCUUCAACAGAAGCUUAAUAUCUGAACUUGUAGGAUUUUUUCAAGUUCUGGGGCCAAUUUUCUUUUUUCUUAGUGCACAUAUAUAUCUCCGGUUUUGGUUCCUUUAUAAGUUCAGCUUUACUUCUCAGAAUAAAGUUUACUCUAAUAUGAUUUUUUGGGUUCGUUUCCUAAAUAAAAUUUAGCUAAAUAUAAAACAAAUUCUACAACAUGUAAAAUUGUUUUGAAAACCCUUUAACAAAAAAAAAAAAAACAUGUAAAAUUGUGAGGUAACGUGUAGUAAAAAUAUGUUUGGUGAAAUCUAGUUAAAAGAACUUUUCUGGUUUUAUCGCAUUAUUUACAACUAAAACGAUAGUAUAUUAACUAAACUAUUAACUUAACAGUACAAAGAAACAAGACUACAAGUCUAUCACGAAAAACCUCAAUAACUCUACUGUAGUUUACUAAUGCGAAUUAUAUAUAUAUAUCAUUGUAAUAUGUGACUAAGGUAAGCCAACACAUUACAAUUAUAUAUAGAUAAUGUUGUUAGUUAAUCUGUCCGUGCAUGUAUAUAAUGUAAUCAUCGGUCGACUUUCAAGUUUGUUAUGAUGUUGAUUUAUUUUAUUCAAGCUCAGAAAGUGUUGGUGAAAAUUAGCUAACUUAUAAGAUGUACUUUUUCUCUUUGUUUAUCUCUUUGGAUAACCGAAUCGUCUGUGUUGCGUUUUACGACUAGUUAAAAUUGCUUGAAUAACAUAGAUAAUGGUAAGUACGUAAGUGACAUUUGGUUUAAUUAACUAAUCUAGUGGCAUAUCCAUACAUAAUCGAAUCAUUUAUGCGCUGAACAUCAUUACGUGUACGUCAAAAUAUAUAGUUUGGAAUCAUUUCGCGUUGGAGAUCAACAGGGGAAAAUUAGCAAAUCAGUAUGUUGAUUACUAUUUACUAAUUAACGACUGUUAAAACCUAAUUGUUGCAGCAUGAAUUUUAUAGUAAUAGUACUCAUUGUCAAUUAGUUUUUGAUUACAGAAUAUUGUCAAGUGUCCGCCGCUGAUUAAGAGACGAGGCGACUUCAAAUUUAAUCAUAUGAAAACCUUGACAAUUUCCUAUUUUAUAGUACUGUCUAUAAUUUAUAGUUUUAAUCAUGUUUUUAUAUCUUCUAACUUGAAUAGAUAUCCGCAUUUGUACACCCAUAUGUGUCUUAGGGAAAUUUUAUUUACAAAUAUGUGAAGAUGUAAGUAUCUUAACUGUUUAUCAAAAAUGUAUGUAUGAAUAUAUGUAUAUAGUGCAUGGUUUUUGAAAUUCCAAUAUAGACAACAAGUAUCGUUUAACAAUUUACCUUACAAAACCAUAAACUGCUUCAAAAUUUUGAUUAUACAGUGGCAUGGAGACGUCUCCAUCCUAUUAAGUUUCAAAAUGCAUUCUAAUUAGCACCUCAAUUUAUGUUAUUGAAUGAAAAUUUAAAGACUUAUAAUUAUCUCUUUUUUUCUUUGGACAUUGACAUAAAAUUAUCUUGUCCUAUCACUUUUAUAUAAUAGUAAUUAUUGUAUAUGGACUUCAUAGUCAUUUUAAAUAAAAACUAAUUAAAGCUAAUCAUUGCUUUGUAAAAGUAUAGCAGACACUAUUUGAUAUGAAUAAGAUAGUUUUAACUUUUUUAAUUGAAACCCUCACUAACGAGAGGAGAAUUAAUAUUACGUUACAUACAUGUGGUGCUUACUUAGUUUUAUUUUAUUUUAAUGAUUCCUUUGUCUUUUAGGGUUUUGGUUGUAGUAUUCGUUCUUGAAGCAAUAAUAUUAUUAUAUUCAUGUUUCUGUUAUAAAAGUAUUUUUUUCUGUGCAAAAAAUAAAUCAAUGUAAUCCCAGCAGCCACACUUUAUUUUGCUGUCAAAAAAAAAAAUCUUUUUUUUUUGAGAAAAAAAGAAUAACUAUAAACUUCAAUUAAAUUUUAUCAUAUUGAUACGUUAACACAUCAUUAAACGAUUCAAUAUCUAAGGCAACUACCACCGAGUAUAUAUUCCUCACACUUAUUCGAUUUUGGCAUCAAACUUGAAUUCCAUAAAACUUGUCACAAUAUAAUUACGACAAACAAAAAUUUCCGAGUACGGAUUAACCAAUUUUGAAGAUUUUUGCAACUGGUACUUUUACAUACAUCUACAUAAAACUCAAGUAAUUUAAACCCAUUGUUAUUUUUAUUUUUCUUGAAAAAAGAAACCCAUUGUUAUUGCAAAGAUAGUUUUUAGAUACACACUACCAAAUUCCAAAACUACUUUUGAUUUAGUACGUCCCACUAGAGUUCUGUCGUGGCACGCCUUUGAUUAAUGACUAGGGUCCUAGAAUUAUUUUAAGUGUUAAUUGGUCGCAGAAACUACAGGGUAGUAAUUCUCUAUAAUUUCUUUUUUGCUUAAAGUAAUUUUCUAUAAAGUUAAGAAAUCAAACAAAAAAAAAAGUUAAGAAAGUACAGUAGAUAAAAAACAAUAACGUAAUUUGUUCAAAACACCAACAUAGGCCGGAUGCGGUCAAAUUUUUAUCUAAAAUUGCACCAUCAAAUAAAUAUUAUCUAAAAUCAUUAAUUGGAUCUAGCUAUAUGAGCUCUAACUAAUUGACCAGGCGAUAGAAUUUUUGUUUAAAAAGUUUGCAGCAUAUGAUAUAAAAUAUGAUUUCUACAAGGAGAAAUUUAUAAUAACUGAUGGGCAGUUCAAAAUCUGAGAGUUUCAAAAAUACAAGUUUAAAAUAGUAGUAAACGACUCAAGAAGCGGGAUAAAAAAAAUUAAGUACAAUUUUUCUGCAUCUUCUUUGGGUAACAUAAAUCAUUAUACUACCCUUUUCACGACAUAAAAUUAUUGUUUCUUUGCACGAUUUAAUAUUUAUAGCCUACAUCUUUUCUUGUCUUGUAUAUACAGAAACCUAUGUGUGUGUGUGUUACAGCAGCAUUUUAAAAUUUGUUAUAAUUUUUUUUUUGUUAGUAGUAGAAUUUCAUACUGAAACCUAUAUUAGUUUAUGAGACAUGUGAAAAUUCAAAACUUUUACCAUUUAAGACGUCUACAUGUGACCAACUAUACUUAAAUCACUUUGAGAAAAUUCAAAUCCCGAUUGCCAACUAAUAAAAUAAUUUGAUUUAGCUCAAAUUUCCAGCUGCAAUAAAUAUACAGGGAGAUGUAAUUCUCAUGUGAUAAUCUUUUCAUUUCUUCACAUAUGUGGUGGUAGUUCGUGUAGUUAACAUGGGAUGUGCCAAAAUAAUUAUUUUGUUUGAGUUAUUUCUUAUUACCAUCCUAGCCCUAAAUAAUGCAUCAUAAAGGCAUGAGUAAAAAAUAUUAAAUUCUUUUGUUUAUGUUAUUAGUUUUUUUUUUCUUGAACACAGUGUUUAUGUUAUUAGUUAAUUUACAAUAUUUACCCUAAAUAUUAGCAUUCCAAUCACGACCAAGAGAAAAGCUGCAAUGCCACUCAAUUUAAUUCACAUGCUAUCAUUCUCAUAAUUGAGAUUUCACAUGCACUUCUAUACUUAUAUGUCGUUAUGUACACAUAUAUGGAUGUUUGGAGUUGAAUAAAUAGUAUGUACAGUAGUUUCAUCGGUCCAAAAAUAAAAUGAAUUUGAUAUGUGGAUAAUGUAAUAGAUACUUGUUUACGACGGAUUAGACGACGCUGUAAAUUGUUAUUUUUUAAUUAUACUAGGGGCGGAGUCCCCGCGCAAGCGCGGGGUUGUUGAUAAUUAGAUGUGUUAUAAUACUUUUAAAAUGUUGUAGGAAAUGUUGUGGAGGAUAUCGUCAAUGCAGGAUUGAUGGUUUGUAAUUCCAAUGGUGAUGCUAUCUUUUGGGGCAGUUCGUAUUUGGUGAUAGUAUCUUCUGCAUUAGAGGCUGGAGCACUUGCACGAAUUUCUGUAGCACAACUAUUAUAUUUUAGAGGUUUUGCUUGGAUAGUAUUUAACGUGAUCGUCUUAGCUUGGUAAAAUUGAUAAAUGAUCAUAACUUCUUUUACAAUAUAGUUGUUGUGGUCCAGAAUAUGAAGUGGUGGGCCAUAUAAAAUUGCUUUGCUUGUUUUACAAAAUCGUCAAGUAGAAAAAAUCAUAUAUCAGAUGCAUUGGCAAAAGGACCACCAAAAUAUAUUUUUUUGGUUUAGGAUAACACAAUUUUAUGCAAUAUUUAGUUGGGCCAUAUAGGUUUAACGUUGAAAUAAAUAAAAUCUAAGUCCAUUAUUUUUUUCAGAAAUUGGGCCAUGUUUUGUGUUGAAAUAGAAAAGCUUUGUUCUCUUCGAGCUUGAGACGACCGUCUGAGAAGGCCCCUUCCUGUUGCAAAAUUUGAUUUGCCUGGUUAGGAAUUUUGAAUUGAGGUAAGGAAUUAUUCGGGAAUCUCAUGGUAUUCUUCUAAACCUGCAAUAAGGAAAGUCAACUGGGGGCUAAAUGUUUGAGACAAUGCUUAUUGUAUAUAGUUUUGUUGAACAGAGAAGUGAAGGUCGUGUGACAUAUCUGUUGUUUGUGGCAAGCCAUUGAAAACUUCACUGUAGACGAUAUUAGCGAUGGUGUUUGCCAAGCUACCAUAUCUUUAGUCCUUUUGGUGUUGUAAUGUCUAAAAUAUUUAGUCCUUUUGGUGUGGUCACUCUUGAGAGUGCCACAUAUAAUUGACCAUGGCUAAAAACAGGCUUUGGCAAGUACAGAGCAACCUUAGCCAAUGUUUGGCUUUACUUUUGUUUAAACAGGUUUUUACCUUUCUUUUUAAUUGCAAAGAGAAGCUUUAAAAUCCAAGGCUUUGUUUGCUGCCAAAGAAACAAUAAUCAAUUACAAACAAAAAGUCUAAUCUCAGAUGACACAAAUGACAGAUUCAUAGCUUUUGCUUCAAACUGAAACCAAAAGGAAAAACAACAGAGUAAAAGCUGUUUGUAUUGCAGAGACAGAAAAAGACAAACAAAUGACCGUAACACAAAGGUUAACAUUUCUACUUAACCUCAACUCUUAUAUAUGUCAUCUGUUAAACCAAAUCACGAGCUUCUUAUAUCUCAUCUUUUAAACCAAAUCAUGAGCUUCUUAUAUCUCUCCUCUCAAUGGGUUACAUCUCUCAACGAUUGUAUCAUCUUGUUGGCUACCACCACCUGCUGAAUCCAAGCUCAAAUUUCUUUGUGUCUUUCUCUGUGAUCACAAUCGUCAUCAAUAUAGCAGGCUCUUUCCUGCUGACAGUCAACAAAUCAAAAAUGCUUUAGAGAAUGCGCUUAAAGAGAGACUAUAACCUAGAGUUUUUUUAAAAGAGAAAAAUAACCAACACUUGCGUACAACUAAAUCUUGGAUAUGUUGUUCGAACAGAAAUGUGACUCUUUUAAAGCAAAACACAACACCUUUCAUCAAUGAUGAUGGCUUCUUUAAUGCAACUUAAGGGGAGGUUUUCAGUACCCAUUGCUUUAGAAAAACACUGUUUCUCCUUGAUCAAUCGAGCCAUUGCUCAAAAAGGAUAUUCUCUCUUCCUACAAUAAAACCAUUUACAGCACCUAAGUGAAUUAAUAUGUACAAAAUAAAUGCUACUUGAUUCCAAUUCAGUUUUAUGAGUUUCGUGUUAAC